UGACCUCUUUCAUGUGAUCUUUCAUGUGAUCAUGAAUAGCUCUUUUAUUGACACUCAACACAAUGCUGAAGCUACAGGCUCUACUAAGACCCAGAUCAGUGUCCACAUUUCCUCCAAAGUGCUCAUUGUCAAAAAGUGGGGAGAAUGAGAUUGAGCUUACUAAAGGCGUUCUUCGUGGGAUCAUCUCUGAACUAAAAGACGACAUGCCAAGAGCUCUCAGUGUAUGCAGUUGGCCUUUUAAAGAGUGCUCUUGAGGGACGUGUACUGUGCAAGCUCCACACUGACAGUUGGCCUUCAUUCAACACCCUUGUCUGUCAGGUCAUCUACCCCAGAGCGUCAGAGGUUGCUGAUCUGCUCUGCUAUUCUCGUGGCUCUGGAGAUGAUUUACUUCAACUACUUCUCUCACAAAAUCUGAUUUCAUGGAGAAAGAAACAGCAAAUUCAUUACCUUGAGAGUGAGUUGAGUGACUACUUGUGUGAGCACUUAGUGGACCCCUCCACUGGUAGGAAAGUGAUGACCAACUUUUUAGAAGGUGUGGCUGCUUACCUUCCUGACAACGUGCAAUUCAAAACAGAAAUGACAUGUCCCGAUGGUUUUGUACUCGGAUCCCUCAAGCCUCAUCACACACCACUUGUUGUUGAACAUUGGGGUCGUUUGCGUGGCUGGCCUAAAGAAAUGUCCUAUUUUGAAGAUCUUAUCUUAAACUUUGUAUCAAGAGCCCUCUACAGUGUUGAUGAUCGAGACUCCCCAGUGACCUGGAGUUUACAGCAUGUUUAUGGAAGUAUGGGUAAUUUAUUUUCAAUAGAAGCGUUUCGAGAAAAGAGUCUUGCCACUUUCGUUGGUAUAGAGAUGAUCAAAGCUGUAGCAGCACAAGGGUUUACACCGUGGUCAGUUUUGCAAGUAGAAAAUACUACAAUGAGAAAGAUGAAUGCAAAACUUGGAGGUCUUGAGUCAAAGUACACUCUAAAGCGAUCGGCUUUAGGACUAUAGUUACUGUCUCAAUGUAACUGUGUGUGUAUGUUGAAGGCAACUUGUUCAUUUGUGUCAAUCUUUUGUACAGUAUAUAUAAGCAUCUGUUGUCUUUGUCUCUAUACUGGUUGGUGCAUUGCUGUGCUCGCAUUAAUUGUUGUGUGAUGGAAAGGGAAGGGACGCAUGGGACAUGUCCCGAUGGUUUUGUACUCGGAAGCCUCAAGCCUCAUCACACACCUCUUGUGCUCGAACACUGGAGUCAUUUUAAUGGAUGGCCUAAAGAAAGGCCUUAUUUUGAAGCUAUUACCUCAAACUUUGUGUCGAGAGCCCUCUACAGUGUUGAUGAUCUAGACUCCCCCGUUACCUGGUGUUUACAGUAUGGCUAUGGAAGUAUGGGGGGAUUGUUUUCGAUAGAAAAAGUUCGAAACAAGAAUCUUGGCACUUUCGUUACCUUGGAGAUGAUCAAAGCUGUAGCAGCACAAGGGUUUACACCGUGGUCUGUUCUGCACUUAUUGGACACUACAAUGAAAAAGAUGACUGCCAAACUUGGAGGGUAUGAGUCAAAGCACACUCUAAAGUGGUCGGCUUUAGGACUAUAAACUGAUCAUUAUAUAACACUCUAAUUGUGUGUGUCUAUGCUAUUCGUUGUAUAUAUAGAUGUAUACAGAACAUAUACAAGUGUGUGUGUGACU